rnacentral:rRNA from 1 species
GAUGAACGCUAGCUACAGGCUUAACACAUGCAAGUCGAGGGGCAGCAUGGUCUUAGCUUGCUAAGGCCGAUGGCGACCGGCGCACGGGUGAGUAACACGUAUCCAACCUGCCGUCUACUCUUGGACAGCCUUCUGAAAGGAAGAUUAAUACAAGAUGGCAUCAUGAGUCCGCAUGUUCACAUGAUUAAAGGUGUUCCGGUAGACGAUGGGGAUGCGUUCCAUUAGAUAGGAGGCGGGGUAACGGCCCACCUAGUCUUCGAUGGAGAGGGGUUCUGAGAGGAAGGUCCCCCACAUUGGAACUGAGACACGGUCCAA